rnacentral:rRNA from 1 species
UACAGAAUCCCCGAGCGUUACCCGGAUUUAUUGGGCGUAAAGGGUCCGUAGGUGGUAAAGUAAGUUGAAAGUUAAAACUCAUCGGCUUAACCUUUGAGGUGCUUUCAAUACUGCUAUACUAGAGGGCGUUAGGGGUGAGCGGAACCGACGGAGUAGGGGUGAAAUCCGUUGAUAGCGUCAGGAACACCAAAAGCGAAGGCAGCUCACUAGGACGACCCUGACACUGAGGGACGAAAGCAUGGGGAGCAAAAAGG